AGGACGAACGCUGGCGGCGUGCUUAACACAUGCAAGUCGAGCGGUAAGGCUCCUUCGGGAGUACACGAGCGGCGAACGGGUGAGUAACACGUGAGCAAUCUGCCCUUCACAUCGGGAUAACCCCCGGAAACGGGAGCUAAUACCGGAUACGACCACUUCAGGCAUCUGAUGGUGGUGGAAAGUUCUGGCGGUGAAGGAUGAGCUCGCGGCCUAUCAGUCUUGUGGUGGGUAAUCGGCCCACCAAGGCUUCGACGGGUAGCCGGCUGAGAGGGUCGACCGGCCACACGUGGGACUGAGACACGGCCAGACUCGUACGGAGCAGCAGGUGGGAAUAGUGGAACAAGUGGGACGAAAGCCUAGAUCCAGCAACGCGACGUGGAGGAUGGACGGCCGUUCGGGUUACGUAAACCGUUCUUUCGACGCGACGAGACGGAAAGACGAAAGU
rnacentral:rRNA from 1 species